AUACGAGGGGAGCUAGCGUUGUUCGGAAUUACUGGGCGUAAAGCGCGCGUAGGCGGUUUUCCAAGUCAGGGGUGAAAGCCCGGGGCUCAACCCCGGAAUAGCCCUUGAAACUGGAGAACUAGAAUCUUGGAGAGGUCAGUGGAAUUCCGAGUGUAGAGGUGAAAUUCGUAGAUAUUCGGAAGAACACCAGUGGCGAAGGCGACUGACUGGACAAGUAUUGACGCUGAGGUGCGAAAGCGUGGGGAGC
rnacentral:rRNA from 1 species